GUGGAACUAAAAAAAAACAAGCUAGGCGCACCAGUGCAACCAACGCAAAAAGUAAGUCUGGAGCCCUGUAAUGUGCUGUAGAAGAAUCGGAUCGGGACUCUGUAUUGGCAAAUACUCAAAACAAAUGACUCGGACUCGGGGGCUGAUCGGGACAUGCCUAACAAAAAACAGUUUAACAAUUUAAUCUUCCCUUUCAAACAAAUGAAAUCUCAAAAUGAUAACGAGAUUACAAGAGGGGAAAGAUCUUCCGAAAUAGGAAAUAAACCUGCUUAAUUGAAGGUUGCUGCAUCGGAAUGGUGCCAUGUACAAAUGUUCAAACUCGCAUCUUUUAGUAGGCUAGGCCUACUCUAUUAGGCUGGCUGUUUAGGCAACUCCUGGAAGAAUGCGCAAUCAUGUUUGAUCGCAUAUGCGUGUAUUAGGGCUUUGACUCCGAACUUCGUUAUUUGAAUAUAAUUCGAUUAUUUAAAAACAAAAAAAGAAAUUUGAACAAAUUUUAGGGAGCCUUUAAUAUUCAAACCUGUAUGGAAAUUAUUUUUGUUAAUGUGUUUGCUUGUAAAUAUUGUUUUCAAUUCAGAUUCCAAGUUUUUUUUUUUUUUCACGUCUGGUGAAGUAAAAUCGUGAGCUCAUUAGCCAGGUUAUUAUUGGUCAUCUGGGCUCCUGUAGGUGACGUUAUCAUCCCUGGUUAGCACUUACUUUGUUUAAAACAAUGGCCGCGCCAAUGAUGAGUACGCCUGACAAGGAGGUCAAAAUCUACACUCCUGACCAUCUGAAAAGCAACGUGUGGCACUUCUUUGGGUUCCCAAAGCAAGAGGGGAAAAUCACGAGUAAGGACAAAGUUAUAUGUAAAAUACUGUAUGUAGGACCAAACUCAUAUACCACGCAACAACCAGCAACUUGAGAGCCCACCUGUCAACACUACAUCCCGGCAAGCUGGAGCAGGAGGAGGGAGAGGGAUCGGGGACAAGGCAGGCCAGAAUUGACUCCAUGCCAUCACCUUGAAUUUCCUUUUAGGGAUCAAUAAAGUAUCUAUCUAUCUAUCUAUCUAUCUAUAUAUCUACCUUCACGAGGCCUACCCUAUGUCCGUCAAAAUAGAGCUACAGAUUUGCUAACAAGGUUUAUUUGCGAAGAUAUGAGGCCCAUUAACGUAAUCAAGAUCCCCUGCUACAGGACCAUGAAUAGUAAGAUAACUAAGCUGUACGACACAACCAAAGGUGGCAUAAGGGAAAUGCUUCAUGGUGAAAAACUUGCACUGACCAAUGACGGGUGGAGUUCUUUGGCUAUCGAGUCGUAUGUUACGGUCACAGCCCAUUUCAUCGACAAGGACUGGGAGAUGAGAAAUGUCGUCCUGGACACGUCAGAGCUUAAAACUUCACACUGCAGCGAAUGUCUCCACAUGCAUCGGCAGUAUUCUACGAGAGUACAAUGUAGAGCAGAAGUCUGUGCUUGCCAUCACAACAGACAAUGCGAUAAACUACAGAAAUGCUGUAGCGAGGCACUUGGGGAUCACUGAUAUCCCGUGCAUGGCUCACACAAUUAACUUAGCAGGGAGAAAAGGGCUUGCACAGCGCUCCGUUGCAACAACAGUUAGUCGCCUGAAGGCUGCAGCUCAGCAUUUCAAGCACUCCCGGACAGACAGCUACCUCCUGGAGGCCAAGCAAAAGCUCCUUGAAACCAGUCCAGCUCAUCAACGACUGCCCCACCCGCUGGAAUAGUACAUACGAUAUGAUCUGUCAGGCAGCUGAUCAACAAGCCCCGGUUGCAGCGGUGAUGAUGGAGAACAAGCUCAGCCGUCUGGAGCUCACCAGUGUGGAGUGGACGCUGAUGGAGAAGGUGAAAGAUGUGCUGAAGCCCUUCAAAGUUGCCACCCAGGCACUGUCAACAGAAAACUACCCCACAGCACAGUCCUCCCCCUGCAGUAUAUGCUUCUGACACAACUCAAGCCCUCCACCGAUGACCCGGCAGGAGUGAAAGAGAUGAAAACAAUGAUGUUGACUGAUCUGAAGGCGCAAUAUGGCCCCGACCAAGAUGCAUUCUUGCUUCUGAACACAGCCAGCUACCUCGACCCUCGUUUUCACCGACUGGUUAAUUUAGAACAAGAGUCGCGACAGGCAGUGCGAGAUAAGGUUCAGAGGGAGCUUGCGGAGGUCAGCGAGGAGACAAGCAAAGAGGAAGGCCAAGAUGAGAACACCACGACUAGGGAGCAGUGCAAGGGAAAGAAUGCACUUAACGUGAUGGGGGACCUCUUUCGCGAUGUGUAUUGCCAAAACUUGGCAGGAGCCAGACCAAGUGAAGAUGUGCUCCUAAGAGAAAUGAUGGCCUACGACAGUGAGCUCCCACCUCUGUCUGACAGCAACCCGCUGUCCUGGUGGAAGGAGAGAAGCCUCAGUACCCCAAUCUCGCUAAGCUGGCACACGGCUACCUGGCAAUUUGCGGGACAUCCGUGAGGGCGGAACAAGUAUUUUCCACCGUGGGGAACAUAGUCACAAAGCAACACUCUUCUCUAGAGCCAGAACAUGUGAAUCACCUCGUGUUUUUGGCAAACAACUUAAAAAACUCCAGCCCAUAAUGACGACGAGUUCUAAUUAGUCCUAGGCUACAUGUUUGAUUGCCCGUAUCUCGACGUGUUCUCGAGGUGUUACGUUUACAAAGUGCCUUGUUUUUGGUAAUUGUGGUCAUAUCGCGUAACAGUGUCAGUAAUGACUGGCCGUGAGAUGUGCUUGUUUUGAAUAGCCUAUAGGGCAGGGCUGUACGCUUAGAUUUUUCAUUAGGAGCACAGGUGCUCCUAAAUGAAAAAAUUUAGGAGCACAGAGAAAAAUUUAGGAGCACUAAGACAUUUCCUUGAAAACCUCAUGCCUUAAGCAGGAUACAGAUCAUUCACAGCAGUGGCAAUCCUGCUCAAACCCUCCACACACACAGAAAAUGGCUUGUCUGGUAUCUAUUUCAUUUUGAAUUCAGAAUUUGUAUACAUUUUGUUAACAAUUUAUAGCAUAUCGCAUUUGCAAUAUCUUGAAUACUUCAUAUUGAUUACACUUGUCUUUAAUGAUAUUACAGUGGUGGUGUGUAGGUCUAAUUGAAUGUCUGUCACUUUAAGUACCGUACUGAACAUAAUUAGGUUUCAUUCGGUUUCAUUAGGAAAAUACUAGUCACGCAUAGUUCAGGGAUACAUGUUUUCAUUAAAUAACAUGAAUGUUAAAAAAAUAAUAAUAAAGGUAAAGACAGAUAUUUCUGGUGUAGGCCUAAUAGAAAAGACGAGUGUCCAGCAAUGUAAACUUCUAUGAUUUAGGUAGCCUACCGUGGCAUGGCAUUGAGUUGUCCCGUUCACUUUUUCCUUGGUCAUGUUGGCUGGGUGCUUAACCUACUCUUACUUAACUUACCAUAACUUGUCUUGGAGUUUGGUAUAGGCUAUCUGUUAUAUCCAAUGAGUGACAACCAGUGCUAAAAAAACGUUAUGGUAUUCUCCUGAUAACGUUAGUGGAAUGGAUUUAAUGCGAACGUAGCCUACAAAGAUGCAGAGUGGCUAUGAUACAGCGCACAUUUGCGAUGAAAAUUUUCCGCCUUUUUGAAGCAGGUGUAGCACCGAAUCGUGGUUAAAUCCAUCAUUUAGACGACAGAAUCAGUAGGAUACCAUUUUUGUUUCAAGUCUACCAGGCCUAUGUCAAAUGCAGGCUCGGGUGAAGCUGGGAGGAAUUUAACAUAGCCUACGGUUUCCACAACGUGUUUAUCAACUGUGAUAAUAAUAACAUUUUAAAUGAACACGGUAAUAUAGUCAACAUUUGUAUCAUAGUUCACCGUUUCACCGGUAAUCGCUACAUGUAGUCACUAACUGAUAACGAACAGAUUGAAGAAAAAGAAGAAUGGAUUUGGAGUGACAGUUGACGUGUGUGUGUGAGAGCAGCGAGGUUGAUGCUGAAAGCGUGAGUGUCCAGCCAGGUGCAAGAGUUGUCAACUCCAGAGCUGUCAACUCUGAAAUGUGUAUACAGAUGCGCGAAAAUUGUAGGCUACUAUACUUUGAUCCACUUGGUGUUGAUUCAUUUUAGGAGCAAAAUGCGAAUGAAAGGGUUGAAAUCAGUAUUCGCAAGUGUGCGACAAUUUUUUUUUUUCAACUCGCACUAAUAUAUAUUUACUCGCAUUUGCGACGACCUGCUCGCAGCGUACAGCCCUGCUAUAGGGUCUACCUUUAUUUCUUUUUUUCUUUUCAGUACUUAGCCUGACUGGCUUAUUUUUAUUUAUUUUUGAAGAAUAAUUUGAAGCGGAUAUAACUGUUUGUGUUUAAUCCUGUCUGGAUAAUAAUAAAAUGAAAAAUAUAGCCGCAAGCGGCGAUGGCGGGCCCGAGCACCAGCGGUGCGGAGACCUGUGAGAUUUCGAAAUCUAACAAAGCAACAUGUGCGUGUUGGUGGGCAUGUGCAUGAGCAACACACAUGCCCACCAAAUUUGGUCAAUUUUCCUGAAUGUAUGUGUCAGCCACAACAGACAAUAUGCUAGGUAGCGCUAUAGAGUCCCUAAGCCACACCCUAGACCAGAGCUCUAUCUCUGACUAUCGAUAGCAAUAACGCUAGACAGACACAGACAGAGGGGGUAGAGACAAAUGGAUCAAUAGAAUAGAAUAUACACUUUUUUGAUCCCGUGAGGGAAAUUUAUUUCUCUGCAUGUAACCCAAUUUAACCAAAUUAGUGAACACACACAGCACACAGUGAACACACAGUGAGGUGAAUCACACACUGACCCAGAGCAGUGAGCUGCCUGCCCAACCAGCGGUGCUGGGGGAGCAGUGAGGGGUUAGGUGCCUUGCUCAAGGGCACUUUAGUGGUGGACUGGUUGGCGAUUGAACCGGCAACCUUCCAGUUACAAGCCCCAAGCCCUAACCAGUAGGC